rnacentral:rRNA from 1 species
AUGCAUCACCAGCUCAAACCGCCCGAGGCCGCCACGCUCCCGCGCCACCUCCUUGAAGACCACGUCGUGUCGCUGGUCCGCCAAUGCCGCAGCCUCCGCGCGCUCCGCGGCGCCCACGCGCGCCUGCUCAGGCUCCGCCUCCCGCGCCUCACCUACGCCUUCGCGCUCUCCAAGCUGCUCGCCUCCUGCGCCGCCUCCGCCACGACCGCCGCGGCGGCCUCGUACGCGCGCAGCCUGUUCGACCAAAUCCCCGAGCCAACCGCCUUCUGCUACAACUCCCUCAUCCGCGCGCUCGCCACCCCCACCAACCCCACCGCGGACGCCUUCCUGCUCUACCGCCGCAUGCUGCGCGCGGGCUCCCCGCCCCCCAACAGCUUCACGGUCGCGUUCGCGCUCAAGGCGUGCGCCGCGGUGCCGGCUCUUGGUGAGGGCCUGCAGCUGCACUCGCAGGCCUUCCGCCAGGGGCUGGAACCGAGCCCCUACGUGCAGACCGGGCUGCUUAACCUCUAUGCCAGGUGUGAGGAGGUUGCGCUGGCCAGGAGCGUGUUUGAUGGCAUGGCCGAGGACAGAAAUCUGGUCGCGUGGAGCUCCAUGAUCGGCGGGUACUCCAGAGUGGGGAUGGUUAACGAAGCGUUGGACCUGUUUCGGGACAUGCAGGCUGCUGGGGUGCACCCAGAUGAGGUCACAAUGGUUAGUGUAAUCUCGGCAUGCGCCAAGGCGGGCGCUCUUGAUUUGGGCAGGUGGGUGCAUGCUUUUAUAGACAGGAAGGGGAUCACGGUUGAUCUUGAGCUGAGCACCGCGUUGAUUGACAUGUAUGCAAAGUGCGGUCUGAUAGAGCGGGCAAGGUUGGUUUUUGAUGCGAUGGUGGAGAGGGAUACCAAGGCAUGGAGUGCAAUGAUAGUUGGACUGGCGAUGCAUGGGCUUGCAGAGGAUGCGUUGGGCCUUUUCUCAAGAAUGCUCCAGCUUAAGAUUAGACCCAAUAAUGUCACCUUUAUAGGUGUGUUGUCAGCCUGUGCUCACAAUGGGUUAGUUGAUGAUGGCCGGCGAUAUUGGUCUACUAUGCAAGAAAUGGGAAUUAAAGCUUCAAUGGAGAACUAUGGUUGCAUGGUUGACCUUCUCUGCCGUUCUGGCCUUUUGGAUGAAGCUUAUUCAUUUGUUACAGGCAUGCCCAUCUUACCAAAUUCAGUAAUUUGGAGGAAUCUUCUUGUGGCGAGUCAAAGCUCGAACAGAACUGAUAUAGUAGGAUUGGCUUCUAAAAAGCUCUUUGAGUUGGAACCGCGGAAUCCAGAGAACUAUGUUCUCCUAUCCAAUUUGUAUGCGUUGAACUCCCAGUGGGACAGAGUGAGGUAUAUGAGGAAAAAGAUGAAGGACAACAAUGUUACUGUCGUUGCUGGCUGUAGUUCAAUUGAAAUAAAUGGCUAUCUGCACAAAUUUGUGGUGAGUGAUGGUUCACACCCUGAAAUAAAGGAGAUAAGAGUGGUACUGAGGGAAAUAGCUGACCAGGUUCUACGAUCUGGCCACAAGCCUUGGACUGCAGCCGUUCUACAUGAUGUUGGUGAAGAGGAAAAAGAAAUUGCACUUUGUGAGCAUAGUGAGAGGCUAGCCAUCGCAUAUGGGUUGCUGAAGACAAAGGCACCUCAUGUCAUUCGGGUGGUAAAGAACUUGAGAUUUUGUCCGGAUUGCCAUGAAGUGACAAAAAUUAUAAGUAAAUCAUAUGGCCGAGAAAUCAUUGUCAGGGACCGUGUACGUUUCCAUAGGUUUAUUGGAGGAAAUUGUUCUUGCAAGGACUUUUGGUGA